GAUGAACGCUGGCGGCGUGCCUAAUACAUGCAAGUCGAGCGAACAGAUGAGGAGCUUGCUCCUCUGACGUUAGCGGCGGACGGGUGAGUAACACGUGGAUAACCUACCUAUAAGACUGGGAUAACUUCGGGAAACCGGAGCUAAUACCGGAUAAUAUAUUGAACCGCAUGGUUCAAUAGUGAAAGACGGUUUUGCUGUCCCUUAUAGAUGGAUGCGCGCCGCAUUAGCUAGUUGGUAAGGUAACGGCUUACCAAGGCGACGAUGCGUAGCCGACCUGAGAGGGUGAUCGGCCCCACUGGAGCCGAGACACGGUCCAGACUCCUACGGGAGGCAGCAGUAGGGAAUCUUCCGCAAUGGGCGAAAGCUUGACGGAGCAACGCAGCGUGAAUGAUGAAGGUCUUCGGAUCGUAAAACUCUGUUAUUAGGGAAGAACAAAUGUGUAAGUAACUAUGCACGUCUUGACGGUACCUAGUCAGAAAGCCACGGCUAACUACGUG
rnacentral:rRNA from 1 species